CUUUAAAGUGCACAGAAAUCUAGUUAAAAUGCAGAUUCUGAUUCAGGUUAGGGGUGGGCCUGAGAGUCUGCAUUUCUAACCAGCUCCCAGGCGAUGACCAU
rnacentral:pre_miRNA from 3 species